rnacentral:rRNA from 1 species
CAAGGAAUUUUCCCCAAUGGGCGCAAGCCUGAGGGAGCAACGCCGCGUGGAGGAUGACGGCUUUCGGGUUGUAAACUCCUUUUGGGGGGGGCGAUAAUGACGGUACCCCCGAACAAGCCCCGGCUAACUACGUGCCAGCAGCCGCGGUAAUACGUAGGGGGCAAGCGUUGUCCGGACUUACUGGGCGUAAAGCGUGUGCAGGCGGGUGGCUAUGUGCCGUGUGAAAGCUCCGCGCUUAUCGCGGAGAGGUCGCGGUAGACAGGCUGCCUGGAGGCUCGGAGAGGUCAGUGGAAUUCUCGGUGUAGUGGUGAAAUGCGUAGAUAUCGAGAGGAACACCAGUGGCGCAAGCGGCUGACUGGCCGAGACCUGACGCUGAGACACGACGGCGUGGGGAGCAAACCGGAUUAGAUACCCGGGUAGUCCACGCAGUAAACGAUGCAUACCCGGUGUUGGGUGCGCUGUUACAGGCGCACGCAGUGCCCAAGCUUACGUG